UUGGCUCUUUGUACUCGGUGUGUGAAUAUUUACCCAAGGAUCUGCUGCUUCCCUAAGCCUUAGCAGGGUUAUUGUCUUGCAGAUGGUACCAGCACCCAUAAUGAUUGGCUACUAGGGUGUUUGCCUCAGCUAGAAGCAAGGAAUGAAGGAAAUCAGCAUGCUAGCAGCUUCAUCCGCUGGUCUCAACACAUGAAGGCCUCUGAUUUUGCAGUGGCAGAUCCACCGCUCUAUACCUCGAGAAAAGGACCCGUUGUGUCAAAAGGUUGUCAGAUGAGAAAAAGACCUAGAAGAGGAGGUAAAAGAACUGUGUGGUUGCUGCUGCUGCUGUUCUAAGCAACGUUGUCAGCAUGCAGAAACAGAAGGCUGCUUUUACCAUGAAACCCAGCUCAGAGCCAACACAGAGAGCUGAGCGAGGAAGAAACCAAGUCCGUCAGAUGCCUCUCCUGUUCUCAUCCAUGGCAGAAGGGUGUGUGGAUGAUCUUCAGCCUGAAGGAGACCUGAUGCUCUCCAGCCUCCGUGAAUUACCACUUGAAAAAAAUUCUACCUGAAACAGCAAGGACGGACAGCCACGCCUUCUAAACCUGGAGGUCACUUCAUUUUACUGGAACAAGGACUGCAAUCUUGUCCAAGAAGAGGCAGGACGUAGUGACGCAGAUCAUCUCUUCGAUGACGGUUGCAUCCGUGGAAGAUAGACUCCUUUGCUAUUCUAACCUCACGUAACUCAUAACUUAACCUGCCUGGCACCUGCUUCUUUUUGUGUGAGUCUCCAGUCUUAUCUCCAUCAUCAGCUCUCUGAACUAUUUUGGCUUCCCAGGAUGAGCAUCCAGGAGAGAAAUGGGAAACAGAGUAGGUAAGCCUUGAGUUGGUGGCAUCUGGGCUGUGACAAAGUCUUGUUGAAGGCCUCAGCUGACCCUGCAGUGAGCUCUGGAACAAUAUGGCCUCUCAGAGGUACACUUUUAGAGGUUCAGCCUAUUAUCAACAUGGUGGGAAGCAUGGCGGCAUGCAGGCAGAUGUCAGUGCUGGAGCUGAGAGUGCUACAUCUUGCAGGCAACAGGAAGUCAACUGACACACUGGGCGGUAUCCUGAACAUAGAAAACCUCAAAGCCCGCCCCCCAGUGACACACUUCCUCCAACAAGCCUUACCCACUUCAACAAAGCCACACCUCCUAAUAGUGCCACUCCCUAUGAGAUUAGGGUGUCAUGUUGGACACUUAUCCCUCUGGAACCACAAGCCCCAAUAAAUGCUUCAAUUAGUUGCCUUGGUCAUGGUGUUUUAUCACAGCAAUAGAAAAGUAACUAAAACAGUAUCCAAAUUUGCAUUUUAAUAAUGUA
rnacentral:lncRNA from 1 species